rnacentral:rRNA from 1 species
GAUCAGGGGGACCUGAUGCAGCCAUGCCGCGUGUGUGAAGAAGGCCUUCGGGUUGUAAAGCACUUUCAGUUGUGAGGAAAAGUUAGUAGUUAAUACCUGCUAGCCGUGACGUUAACAACAGAAGAAGCACCGGCUAACUCCGUGCCAGCAGCCGCGGUAAUACGGAGGGUGCGAGCGUUAAUCGGAAUUACUGGGCGUAAAGCGCACGCAGGCGGUUUGUUAAGCUAGAUGUGAAAGCCCCGGGCUCAACCUGGGAUGGUCAUUUAGAACUGGCAGACUAGAGUCUUGGAGAGGGGAGUGGAAUUCCAGGUGUAACGGUGAAAUGCGUAGAUAUCUGGAGGAACAUCAGUGGCGAAGGCGACUCCCUGGCCAAAGACUGACGCUCAUGUGCGAAAGUGUGGGUAGCGAACAGGAUUAGAUACCCUGGUAGUCCACACCGUAAACGCUGUCUACUAGCUGUGUGUGUCUUUAAGACGUGCGUAGCGAAGCUAACGCGCUAAGUAGACCGCCUGGGGAGUACGGCCGCAAGGUUAAAACUCAAAGAAAUUUGACGGA